UACGCCCACAUCGCGAGGAAACACUAACUCCCAUACGAUCACCGGAGUUAAGCAACGUCGAACCUGGUCUAUACCUAGAUGGGUGACCUUUUGAGAAUACAAGGUGAUGUAAG